rnacentral:rRNA from 1 species
AGCAGCCGCGGUAAUUCCAGCUCCAAUAGCGUAUAUUAAAGUUGUUGCAGUUAAAAAGCUCGUAGUUGAACUUCGGGGUCUACCCAUUGGUCAGGCUUAAUUGUCUGCACUGGUGAGAUGGAUCUCUACCUUCUGAGGAACUCUCAUGCCAUUUAUUUGGUGUGGUUGGAAAUCAGGACUGUUACUUUGAAAAAAUUAGAGUGUUUAAAGCAGACUAUCGUCUGAAUACAUUAGCAUGGAAUAAUGAAAUAGGACGGACUGAUUCUAUUUCGUUGGUUUCUAGGAUCACCGUAAUGAUUAAUAGGGAUAGUUGGGGGCAUUAGUAUUCAAUUGUCAGAGGUGAAAUUCUUGGAUUUAUUGAAGACUAACUACUGCGAAAGCAUUUGCCAAGGAUGUUUUCAUUAAUCAAGAACGAAAGUUAGGGGAUCGAAGACGAUCAGAUACCGUCGUAGUCUUAACCAUAAACUAUGCCGACUAGGGAUCGGACGAAGUUAAUUUUAUAAUGACGCGUUCGGCACCUUACG